rnacentral:rRNA from 1 species
GUGGGGAAUAUUGGGCAAUGGGCGAAAGCCUGACCCAGCAACGCCGCGUGAAGGAUGAAGGUCUUCGGAUUGUAAACUUCUUUGAUUGGGGAAGAAUAAAUGACCUACCCAAAGAACAAGUCACGGCUAACUACGUGCCAGCAGCCGCGGUAAUACGUAGGUGACAAGCGUUAUCCGGAUUUACUGGGUGUAAAGGGCGUGUAGGCGGCUUUGCAAGUCAGAAGUGAAAUUCCCGGGCUUAACCUGGGCGCUGCUUCUGAAACUGUAAAGCUUGAGUACUGGAGGGGAAAGCGGAAUUCCUAGUGUAGCGGUAAAAUGCACAGAUAUUAGGAGGAACACCGGUGGCGAAGGCGGCUUUCUGGACAGUAACUGACGCUGAGGCGCGAAAGCGUGGGGAGCAAACAGG